CCGAACAAACCUCUUGCAAAAUCUCCACUGUUUCUCAGUAACCAAACAGCUUCUCUUUUCCCUCUCGCUCUCCUUUCUCGAUCUUUCUUCUUCCUCAUUUGAUCUACGAUUCGUUAGUUUCCGCCGUAAUUCGUUGAAGAUUCGACUAGAACACCUAUAAAUUUUCAUCUGCAAGCGACAAUCGAGGCGCUUAAUAUUUAUUUCCCGAAAGAACUGAAAAAGAAUUUCUGUAGAAGCCGCAGCGGAGGCAAUGGAAGAAACCUCUAACAAAGAAGAUGCUCCUGUCGCUUUUCUCGACCGCGCCUCUCGAGCAACAAGAGGAAAAAGGAUGACUAAGUUGCACGAUGAUGAAAUUGAAGAGGAUGAGCUGUUAUGGAAUCAGGAUGCUCUUAAGAGCAGGCACAUGCACUUAAAAUGGUUCUGGAAGCAAAGAACUUACCUGUCAAUGUCUAUGUUGGAAUGAGGUACUGGUACCCGUUCACAGAAGAGGCAGUGCAGCAGGUAGGUUUUAAACUUUUCACUUUAGUAACAUGGGGUACUUUUUGCCUCACGUUGAACUGCCAUGGGAUCUAUGAGCUCUUUUCCUUUUCUUUUGUUAAAUGUGGACUUAUUGACACAAUAAGAGAGACAGAAUUACAAGGCUCGUUGUGUUGCCGC